UACGUAGGCAGCAAGCGUUGUUCGGAGUUACUGGGCGUAAAGGGUGUGUAGGCGGUUGGAUAAGUGUGGUGUGAAAUCUCCCGGCUCAACUGGGAGGGUGCGCUACAAACUGUCUGACUAGAGUGUGGGAUGGGUAAGUGGAAUUCCUGGUGUAGCGGUGAAAUACGUAGAUAUCAGGAGGAACACCGGUGGUGUAGACGGCUUACUGGACCAUAACUGACGCUGAGACACGAAAGCGUGGGUAGCAAACAGG
rnacentral:rRNA from 1 species